GUCCUACAUGGGGAUGCUGCAUCAAAGUUGUCUGAAACUUGGCUACCCAUUUAUGCUGAGAAGAUCCUAUACCUGUAAGACAGGAGGGGAAGCUGACAUUGCCCCUGGAUGGAUUGACACCAGAUGGUGUUGGGGAACUCGCCCUGAGGCAGUUGCCAGCCUUGCUUCUACCUACAAUUUACAAAGUUGGCAGUGGCCACGGUGUGAAAGUAGUUCGCCUCACCAUACAGGAAUGCAGCUUGGCCUUCAUCAACCAUAAGCCUCCUGGAAUAAACAUGGUGGAGUACCUCCAUGAGGCCAAGGCAUGCAAGUCAUA